GGAACGGUAACUCAGUGGUAGAGUGUAGGAUUGCAGUGCAAGUAAUCCUGAAGUCAUCAGUUCGAUCCUGGUUCGUUCCU
rnacentral:tRNA from 1 species